rnacentral:misc_RNA from 1 species
UGGUUCUGGCAUCGAUGAAGAACGCAGCGAAAUGCGAUAAGUAAUGCGAAUUGCAGAAUUUCCGUGAGUCAUCGAAUCUUUGAACGCACAUUGCGCCCUUUGGCAUUCCGAAGGGCAUGCCUGUUCGAGCGUCAUUAUCAACCUUCAAACCUCGUGUUUGGCGUUGGGCCCACGUCGUGCUUAGGGCACGACCGGCUCCAAAGACAAUGACGGCGUCCGUGGGACCCUCGGUGCAACGAGCUUUUUUCAAAGCACGCGUCGAAGCGGAUCUGCGGGGGGCCGGUCUCUGAUAGUCAUUAUCACUUCUCAGGUUGACCUCGGAUCAGGUAGGGAUACCCGCUGA